GGGGGGGGGGGGGGGGGGGGGGGGCGCGUGCAGGGCGGGCGGGCGCGGCGGGGUCGGCGGCGGGCGGGUGGGGCACGCGGGGGAGCGUACCCUUCGGUGCGGGGGCACGCGGGGAAACUAGCGCUAAUACCGGAUACGCCCUUUUGGGGACAGGUGUACUGCCGCAGGGGCGGCCCGCGUCUGAUGAGCUAGUUGGUGGGGUACGUGCCUACCACGGCGACGAUAAGUAGCUGGUCUGAGCGGAUGAUCCGCCACACUGGGACUGAGACACGGCCCAGACUCCUACGGGAGGCAGCAGUGGGGAAUAUGGGACAAGGGGCGCAAGCCUGAUCCAGCCAGGCCGCGUGAGUGAGGAAGGCCUUAGGGUUGUAAAGCACUUUUGUCCGGGACGAUAAUGACGGUACCGGAAGAAUAAGCCCCGGCUAACUUCGUG
rnacentral:rRNA from 1 species